AUUGAACGCUGGCGGCAGGCCUAAUACAUGCAAGUCGAGCGAGCGGCGGACGGGUGAGUAAUGUAUGGGGACUGCCUGAUAGAGGGGGAUAACUACUGGAAACGGUGGCUAAUACCGCAUACUAUCGGAUAACCCAUAUGGGAUUAGCUAGUGGGUGGGGUAACGGCUCACCUAGGCGACGAUCCCUAGCUGGUCUGAGAGGAUGAUCGGCCACACGGGGACUGAGACACGGCCCAGACUCCUACGGAGGCAGCAGUAGGGAAUAUUGCACAAUGGACGCAAGCCUGAUGCAGCCAUGCCGCGUGAAUGAAGAAGGCCUUAGGAUUGUAAAGUACUUUCAGCGGGGAAGCGGUACCCGCAGAAGAAGCACCGGCUAACUCCGUGCCAGCAGCCGCGGUAAUAC
rnacentral:rRNA from 1 species